rnacentral:rRNA from 1 species
AUGAACGCUAGCGACAGGCUUAACACAUGGCAAGUCGAGGGGCAGCGAGGGCGUAGCAAUACGCCUGUCGGCGACCGGCGCACUGGUGAGUAACACGUAUGCGACCUGCCCCCUACAGGGGUAUAACCCGUAGAAAUGCGGACUAAUCCCCCAUAGUCCUGGGUGCUGCAUGGCAUUCAGGGGAAAGGCCAGCCGGUAGGGGAUGGGCAUGCGGCGCAUUAGCUAGUUGGCGGGGCAACGGCCCACCAAGGCGACGAUGCGUAGGGGUUCUGAGAGGAAGGUCCCCCACAUUGGAACUGAGACACGGUCCAAACUCCUACGGGAGGCAGCAGUGAGGAAUAUUGGUCAAUGGACGUAAGUCUGAACCAGCCAAGUAGCGUGCAGGAUGACGGCCCUAUGGGUUGUAAACUGCUUUUAUGCGGGGAUAAAGUGUGGGACGUGUCCCAUAUUGCAGGUACUGCAUGAAUAAGGACCGGCUAAUUCCGUG